CUCUUCUCUCCCGCUUCUCUCGCUGUGAAGAUGGCGCUCUCCAGGGUGUGCUGGGCUCGGUCGGCUGUGUGGGGCUCGGCAGUCACCCCUGGACAUUUUGUCACCCGGAGGCUGCAACUUGGUCGCUCUGGCCUGGCUUGGGGGGCCCCUCGGUCUUCAAAGCUUCACCUUUCUCCAAAGGCAGAUGUGAAGAACUUGAUGUCUUAUGUGGUAACCAAGACAAAAGCGAUUAAUGGGAAAUACCAUCGUUUCUUGGGUCGUCAUUUCCCCCGCUUCUAUGUCCUGUACACAAUCUUCAUGAAAGAAAGCCUUGAGCCGGGCCAUGCUUCUCACAUCUUACCUGCCUCCUCCCUUGUUGAGACAUCGUUUGAAGACUCAUACAACUGUGAUUCACCAACUGGACAAGGCUUUGGCAAAGCUGGGGAUUGGCCAGCUGACUGCUCAGGAAGUAAAAUCGGCUUGUUAUCUCCGUGGCCUGAAUUCUACGCAUAUUGGUGAAGAUAGGUGUCGAACUUGGCUGGGAGAAUGGCUGCAGAUUUCCUGCAGCCUGAAAGAAGCUGAGCUGUCUCUCUUGCUGCACAACGUGGUCCUGCUCUCCACCAACUACCUUGGGACAAGGCGCUGAAUGAACCAUGGAGCGGAUGGCAUUGUCCUGCAGUCGUAUAGUAUAGCAGUGCAGGAACAAACAGCACUUGCCAGCAAAGUCUGUGUGUACUGUUAAGUGUGUGGGAGGCAGAGAGAGGAGCAGGGGCCAUGGGCUUCACAGCAUGGCACACAUGUGGGAACUGCAGACAUUCCUCUCACAGCUAGAACUGAAACAAACCCUCUUGCUAGGGGUGGUCCGUGUGAGGUGUCAUCCUGUCCCCCUCAUAAUUACUAAUAGCUGGAACUGGCAGCAGCCUCUACUGGGCUUUUACUGUGAUGUGUUCAGUUCAUGUCCUAGGAAGUCAGCUUUUGCCCCAGGUGGGAAUCCUUAUUUGGCUUAGGACUGAUCCACUUCCAUGUUACUUACAUCUGUGGGUUUUUGUUGUUGCUGUUAGAAAAUUUGUGGCUGGUGAAAACAGCACUCCUUUGGCUGGAGCACAUGUGUCCGUGCAUGUACUUGGGUGUUUCCCUCCAUCCUUUCUGAUAUGACCAAAAAUCAAGUUGUUUUGUUUUUUGUCACCUUCACUGGCAUGGGCUAACCACUUCUUUUUCAAACCCUCUGAACACCUUUUUCUGAUGGGUAACUUGCAGGAAUAUUCUAUUGGAAAAGAUAACAGGAAGUACAAGUGCUUCUUGACCCCUUCCUCAAUGUUUCUAGCCUUCACUCUCCAUUGUCUUUUCUGGGCUGUAUUACAGCCCUCUGUGGAUCUUCAACUCUGCUGCCUCCACUGUGAUGCAGCAGUCCAACUGUAACUGACAGUGGCUGCCUUCUCUGGGCCAUGGAUCACACCUGUAAGGUACUAAUUACUGCCCAGCCUGGGGAGAUCAGGAGAGGUCUGCAUAGUUAGUAAGUUGGGUUUAGCUUUUGUGUGUGCAUCAGUGACUUAGAGUUCUGUAAUAACUUAUUGUAAAUGCAUGAAGCACUGUUUUUAAACCCAAGUAAAGACUGCUUGAAACCUGUUGAUGGAAAUGACUUAUGCAUACUCUAAUCAUUUUGCUGUCUCCUUUUACAAGACUGACAUAAUCUAACAAAUGGGGAUUUAAUUGGUUGGCAUAGAACCUUCUGAUGGGAUGGAAGUUUUGCAGAAACUGAUUUGAAGUUGAUCUCCUUGCUGGACACUUUAAGCUGCUUCUUAUCACCUCUGAGAAAUGAAACAAAAAAAGAUGAGAUACCUCCACAGCCUAAGAAUCCUGUCAUGCUUGUUUUCUUUGCAAAAAUUUUAAGAGACAGGGUCUCACUCUGUGACCCAGGCUGGCGUGCACUGGUGUGAACUCAGCUCACUGCAGCCUUGACCUCCUGGACUCAAGAGAUCCUCCUACCUCAGCCUCCCACAUAGCUAGGAUUAGAGGUGUGAGCCACCAUGCCUGGCCGUGUGCUGUUUGCUUACUCUGUUGACGGAGGAGGGUUGUGGAACUGGAGAGUGUUCACAACCAUAGGGAAUCCACCCCUGAAUGGGCCUCCCAUGUUCAGUGGCACCCACACCUCACCCCGCUGACCCUGGUGUAGAUAUACUAUCUCAGGCCAACUUGGACUGACCUGGCAUUUAAUCCCAGCCUGGCUGCAGGCACACGCUUCUGGGUCACAAUACAGUCGGCAGUCACAACCACAUUCUUCCCGUGACAGGCGGAUGGCUCGAAGUUCUUGCUUCUCUUCAGCAUCAAUACGGUGGACCCCAGAAGCCCUCAGCAGGGCCCGUCGCCGUUUGGUGGGCAGAGGCUGCAGGAAGAAGUAAUCAUCCACCUCCACAUUUUCCACAUCAAUAUCUUCAUCUGACACAUCAUCCAGCGUCAGGCCAUCAGCCUCCACCGACUCCACUGUCCCAUUCUUGGUCAGCUGCCAAGAGACAGGAAAGGUUAGCCUCAUAGACAUGAGCGGCAUGCACCUCCUCAGUGACCAUCCCAGAGCAGCACUGUCCCUUGAACCUUCUGCAAUCAUGGGAAUAUCUGUGCUGUCCAAAAUGAUGGCAGCUACUAGCACAUGUGGCUACUGAGCACUAGAAAUGCAGCAAUUGGAAAACUGUCAUUUUAUUUAUUUUUUUGAGACAAAAGUCUCAUUCUGUCGUCCAGGCGGGAGUGCAGUGGUGCAGUCUUGGCUCACUACAACCUCCGCCUCCCGGGUUCAAGCGAUUCUCCUGCCUCCCAAGUAGUUGGGAUUACAGGCGUGAGUCACCAGCCUGGCUAAUUUUUUCUAUUUUCAGUAAAGACAGGGUUUCACUGUGUUGGCCAGGCUAGUCUUGAACUGCUGGCCUCAAGUGAUCCACACACCUCGGCCUCCCAAAGUGCUGGGGUCCACUGUGCCAGCCCAAUUUACAUAAUUUUAAUUGAAUAGCCGUAUGUGACUACUGGCUGCUAUAUUCACUAGCACAAGUCAAAAGAAUAAAUCCAGAGUGGGAAGAUGGGAAAUCUUACGUACCAUCACCUUUCUGGGUCCAAGCUUCUCAAAAACCCGUCUCAUCUUCCCUCCUACACGAAAAUCUAUUUCCACAAACAUACCGUCUAUUUCCAGACAUGUAUCCCCUAAUUUACACUCACUUGCCUUCUAACACAGAGAGGAAAAGGUAUGUGAAUGACUGGAUGAUCCUUGGAUAUACAGAAAAAUGUGAAACACCCUUCAACUUGCACCCACUGAAUGCAAAACUACCUUCUUGAAAAAAAAAGGGCAAAUUAAAGUGUAGUAAAAGGCUACCAGGUCUUAAUCAAUGAACCCAAAUCCCCACAGUGUGAACAAUUAUCUGUGCAUGCACUAAAGAGCUUCAUUCUACUGUAAGGAGAAAAAGCAAAUAUAUUAACAGGUAUUAAAGAAAGCCCUUGGCCGAGAAAAAA